GCGCAACCCCUAUCUUUAGUUGCCAGCGGAUAAUGCCGGGGACUCUAAAGAAACUGCCAGCGUAAGCUGUGAGGAAGGUGGGGACGACGUCAAGUCAUCACGGCCCUUACGUCCUGGGCCACACACGUGCUACAAUGGUUGGUACAGAGGGCAGCUAAUCCGCGAGGAGAUGCGAAUCUCGAAAGCCAGUCUCAGUUCGGAUUGGAGUCUGCAACUCGACUCUAUGAAGCUGGAAUCGCUAGUAAUCGCGCAUCAACCAUGGCGCGGUGAAUAGUUCCCGGGCCUUGUACACACCGCCCGUCAACAAUGGAAGCUGG
rnacentral:rRNA from 1 species